CCGGCGGAUGGGUGCGUAACGCGUAUGCGAACCUACCUUAUACAGGGGGAAUAACCUUUCGAAAGGAGACUAACACCCCAAUGGUAUUGGAUUUAAGGCAUCUUAGAUUAAUUAAAAUAUUUAUAGGGUAUAAGAUGGGGCAGUGCGUAUGAUUAGCUAGUUGGUAAGGUAACGGCUUACCCAAGGCGACGAUCAUUAGGGGUUCUGAGAGGAAGGUCCCCCACACUGGUACUGAGACACGGCCCAGACUCCUACGGGAGGCAGCAGUGGGGAAUAUUGCACAAUGGGGGAAACCCUGAUGCAGCAACGCCGCGUGAGUGAUGACGGCCUUCGGGUUGUAAAGCUCUGUCUUCAGGGACGAUAAUGACGGUACCUGAGGAGGAAGCCACGGCUAACUACGUGCCAGCCGCCGC
rnacentral:rRNA from 1 species